rnacentral:rRNA from 1 species
UACGUAGGGUGCGAGCGUUGUCCGGAAUUACUGGGCGUAAAGAGCUCGUAGGUGGUUUGUCGCGUUUGUCCGUGAAAACUCACAACUCAAUUGUGGGCGUGCGGGCGAUACGGGCAGACUGGAGUACUGCAGGGGAGACUGGAAUUCCUGGUGUAGCGGUGGAAUGCGCAGAUAUCAGGAGGAACACCGGUGGCGAAGGCGGGUCUCUGGGCCGAUACUGACGCUGGAGGAAGCGGAAAGCGUGGGGAGCGAACAGG